GGAAGGCCUCCAUGAACUCGUCGAUGUCGAUGCUGCCGUCCUGGUUGCUGUCGAUGGUGACGGCCAGGUCUGAGAUGGCCUCGUCGGUGAUCUCCAUCUUCAGACUCCCGUACUUACGUCAGUGUUGGGUCCUUUGAUGGCGAGCUCGUUGAACCAGUCGUGGUAGUCCACCGUGCCGUCACUGGUCUUGCAGGUGACGAGCUGCCCGCGCAUCAUCCUCCAGGGCAGACCGAGGUGCAUCACGCUCUCCACGGCAGCGGCCCAGUCGUUCAGAGACACGAGACCUGCCGGCGAGGACACGGGACGAGGUGAACUGGAAGUGAGCUCUCUGGUCAUGCUGGUGGCCUGGUACUGGAUCAUAUAAGGCACGAGGUCUGGACCCAGCUUCACGUAGGCGCCCCUGUUGCUUCCCACGUCGUAGUAAUUGGAGGCGGAGAACAGAGUGAGGACCUGAGCGAGUGAGACGAGAGAAAAAUGUAAUGUUUUGAUGUCGAUUUUUUUGAACUUGCAUGACAUGUUUAGAAACCGGGUGAAGUGUUCCGUUGGCCACCGGUGUCUGAGCUCACCUUGCGGUUGUGGCAAAACUCGUAACCCUCCUGUUUACACUCGUGGGAGCGGAUGAUGAGCUGCAGAUUGUGCCUGUUCAGGAAGUCUUCAGUGACGUCGGGGCCCCAGUAGCAGCCCCCGCCCCGCACCUCGUUGGGCAUGCAGCCGUCCAGGGUCAUGGGGUCGCUCCACAGCAGGUCCAGGAUCUGGGAGGGAGGGAGGGAGAUUUUUUUUAUUUGAA